GACGAACGCUGGCGGCGUGCUUAACACAUGCAAGUCGAACGGAAAGGCCCCUUUGGUGGUCCUCGAGUGGCGAACGGGUGAGUAACACGUGAGUAACCUGCCCUUGACUUCGGGAUAACUUCAGGAAACUGGGGCUAAUACCGGUAAGGAAUCCUUUCUUCAUGGGGGGGGUUGGAAAGCUUCGGCGGUUUUGGAUGGCCUGGCGGGUUAUCAGCUUGUUGGUGGGGCAGUGGCUUACCAAGGCUUUGACGGGUAGCAGGCCUGCGAGGGCGACCGGCCACAUUGGGACUGAGAUACGGCCCAGACGCCUACGGGAGGCAGCAGUGGGGAAUAUUGCACAAUGGGCGGAAGCCUGAUGCAGCAACGCCGCGGGCGGGAUGACGGCCUUCGGGUUGUAAAACGCUUUCAGCAGGGGCGAAGCUUGUGGUGACGGUACCUGCAGAAGAAGCACCGGCUAACUACGUG
rnacentral:rRNA from 1 species